CUUCAGCGAGCCCAACCACAGCGGCGGCUGUCCCUCGCCACGCCCCUGCCCAUACGUGGCCAGCAGCGCCUGGGCCUC
rnacentral:antisense_RNA from 1 species